GUUUUAUUUAACGAAGUGCAAUUGCCCUAACAAGUGUUUUUGCUUCACACUGUCUUUUGGAAUUGUACUUUCAAUGAUACUGUCCAGAAGAAAGAAACUGUUGGUUUGGGACGAAACCUGCCUGGCUUAGAUUACCUCCUAAUAUAAGAAACAUACGAGCAGAAAUUAACUGCCGUGCGUAAUAACCCCCAUAUUGGAAAUCCCUUAAAAGGGCAUCACCAGGGCUCAUCUUCUGUCCGUAUUAAUAAUACGGACAGAAUUGUGUAUAACUUUAACGAAACAGUAGUUGAUAUAAAAGCCCUUGGACCUCAUGAUAGAGCAUAUCGCUAGGAUUAUGAAGUCAAGAAAAUGGGGGUUUGCUGGUGAAUGCUACCAUGGUGUUUUUGGGCUUGCCAUUUAAAAUAACUGAUAUUUUAGUGAAGCCCGUCUUCUGUCCUGGGAAUUAUGAAAUUUAUAUGCGAAAUGAAUUCUUCAGAGAAAUACUUUCCACCUGUUUUACCAGGGUGCAAACUCAUGUUCCGUCAUGGUAUUGAU